AUGCAGAGCCUCCUCGUCCCCACCGCCGCGGCCUGCGCGGCGCCGCCGUCGGCGUCCACGCGGCGGCCCCGGCCGGCCCGCGUCUCCGUCCGCGCCUCGGCGGCCCCGCCCCGGCGCGAGACGGAUCCGAAGAAGCGGGUGGUGAUCACGGGGAUGGGCCUGGUCUCCGUCUUCGGCAACGACGUCGACGCCUACUACGACCGCCUGCUCGCCGGGGAGAGCGGCGUGGGCCCCAUCGACCGCUUCGACGCCUCCAAGUUCCCCACGCGCUUCGCCGGCCAGAUCCGGGGCUUCUCCUCCGAGGGCUACAUCGACGGCAAGAACGACCGCAGGCUGGACGACUGCCUCCGCUACUGCAUCGUCAGCGGCAAGAAGGCGCUCGAGUCCGCCGGCCUCGCGCUCGGCUCCGACGCCAUGGCCAAGAUUGACAAGGCCCGUGCUGGUGUACUUGUGGGGACUGGUAUGGGUGGCCUCCAAGUGUUUUCUGAUGGUGUUCAGAAUCUUCUCGAGAAGGGCUACAGAAAGAUAACUCCUUUCUUCAUCCCAUAUGCCAUAACAAACAUGGGAUCUGCCCUGCUUGGCAUGGACAUUGGCUUCAUGGGUCCAAACUACUCUAUUUCAACUGCAUGUGCUACCUCGAACUACUGUUUCUACGCUGCAGCAAACCAUAUUCGCAAAGGCGAAGCCGAUGUGAUGAUUGCUGGUGGCACUGAAGCCGCCAUUAUUCCGAUUGGUGUUGGUGGGUUUGUUGCAUGUAGAGCACUAUCACAGAGGAAUGAUGACCCUAAAACAGCAUCUAGGCCUUGGGACAAGGAGCGUGAUGGUUUCGUCAUGGGUGAAGGAGCUGGAGUACUGGUCAUGGAGAGCUUAGAACAUGCAAUGAAACGUGGUGCUCCAAUAGUUGCGGAGUAUCUAGGGGGUGCUGUGAACUGUGAUGCUUACCACAUGACUGAUCCGAGAGCCGAUGGUCUCGGUGUUUCAUCUUGCAUCAGACAAAGUCUUCAAGAUGCUGGUGUGGCACCAGAGGAGGUUAACUACAUCAAUGCUCAUGCAACAUCCACCCUUGCUGGUGAUUUGGCAGAGAUGAAUGCCAUCAAGCAAGUCUUUAAGGACCCAUCUGGGAUAAAAGUAAACGCAACCAAGUCCAUGAUAGGGCAUUGCCUAGGUGCAGCAGGUGGUUUGGAAGCCAUUGCUACUAUUAAAGCGAUAAACACUGGCUUGGUGCAUCCGAGCAUAAACCAGUUUGAGCGGGAGCCUGCGGUUGAAUUCGACACGGUACCCAACGUAAAGGUCGAACAUGAAAUCAAUGUUGGUAUCUCAAAUUCCUUUGGAUUUGGAGGACACAACUCGGUGGUCGUAUUCGCCCCAUUCAAGCCUUAA
rnacentral:rRNA from 1 species